GUCUAUGGCCAUACCACUCUGAACGCACCCGAUCUCAUCUGCUCUCAGAAGCUAAGCAGGGUCAGGCCUGGUUAGUACUUAGAUGGGAGAAGUGUGAAUUUGGAGCCAAAAAAU
rnacentral:rRNA from 1 species